CGGUCCAAGGCUAUAGGCAGAUGUAUAGGUCUCGGCCUGAAAACGGGGAAGGCCGCAGCAGCCAGUAACCCAUAUUAUGUGGAAUAAUAGAAAUGGGAGAGAUCUGUCAAUCAAUCCAUGUCAGGCCCAGACAAGCCGGGUGGGGAAAAGAUCUUGCGAUUAUGUCUGCAAAUUGCGUAUCCCCAAAACAUCGAUACUGGGUGUGUGCGUUCCACAUUAUGCGGAACAGAACAGCCGACCUCUAACAGAACAGUCCUAUCCUUGUCUGUAAUGCUGACAAUAAAAUGACAAGUUCUAUCAUUUUGCA